rnacentral:lncRNA from 1 species
GGGACGGCCACAGUGCGGCCCGAAAGCGGCGCCUGCACCGCCACCUCCGUCACCGGCCUGAUCCAGGGUCUGCGGCCCCCCGCCGCCUGGCAGGCCCCCGGCGACCCUGGUCCGCUGGCGUCCCCGCAGGAGGUUCCCCGCGGCGCGCGCACGGCGGGCGCUGCCUGGCCUUCGGAGGGGCGUCCCGAAAAGGGCCCUGGACGACGAGCAAGAGACCAAUGACAAACAUUUCCCAAACUGGCCCUAGCCUGUGGACCAGACCUUGACCAGCAGCACUUCUGGGCAGUGUUUGUCCCUGGGGGCGAAGAGGACUGAUGGUCAGAGCCGACCCUUAUUCCACUCUUACUCUCUGGCACAGCACCCUCGUGAAGAAACAAAGAGGCCCUCCUAGGUGUCCCUGGACUCCUUUCUGCACCUCACCCGGUCCAGCUGGGCUCCAGAUGAGAAAUAUUAACCAAC